AGUCGAACGUGAAAGCACUUCGGUGUGAGUAGAGUGGCGGACGGGUGAGUAACGCGUGGGAAUCUGCCCAGUAGUGGGGGACAACUACCGGAAACGGUAGCUAAUACCGCAUACGCCCUAUGGGGGAAAGGCUUCGGCCGCUAUUGGAUGAGCCCGCGUCAGAUUAGCUAGUUGGUAGGGUAAAGGCCUACCAAGGCAACGAUCUGUAGCUGGUCUGAGAGGACGAACAGCCACACUGGGACUGAGACACGGCCC
rnacentral:rRNA from 1 species